GACGAACGCUGGCGGCGUGCCUAAUACAUGCAAGUGGAACGCAGUGAAUUCACCGGAGCUUGCUCCACCGAAUUGACUGAGUCGCGAACGGGUGAGUAACGCGUAGGUAACCUGCCUUGUAGCGGGGGAUAACUAUUGGAAACGAUAGCUAAUACCGCAUAACAACAGAUGACACAUGUUAGCUGUUUGAAAGGAGCAAUUGCUCCACUACGAGAUGGACCUGCGUUGUAUUAGCUAGUUGGUAGGGUAACGGCCUACCAAGGCUGCGAUACAUAGCCGACCUGAGAGGGUGAUCGGCCACACUGGGACUGAGACACGGCCCAGACUCCUACGGGAGGCAGCAGUAGGGAAUCUUCGGCAAUGGGGGGAACCCUGACCGAGCAACGCCGCGUGAGUGAAGAAGGUUUUCGGAUCGUAAAGCUCUGUUGUAAGAGAAGAACGUUAGUAAGAGUGGAAAGUUUACUAAGUGACGGUAUCUUACCAGAAAGGGACGGCUAACU
rnacentral:rRNA from 2 species